GAUGAACGCUGGCGGCGUGCCUAAUACAUGCAAGUCGAGCGAACGGACGAGAAGCUUGCUUCUCUGAUGUUAGCGGCGGACGGGUGAGUAACACGUGGAUAACCUACCUAUAAGACUGGGAUAACUUCGGGAAACCGGAGCUAAUACCGGAUGAUAUUUUGAACCGCAUGGUUCAAAAGUGAAAGACGGUCUUGCUGUCACUUAUAGAUGGAUCCGCGCUGCAUUAGCUAGUUGGUAAGGUAACGGCUUACCAAGGCAACGAUGCAUAGCCGACCUGAGAGGGGGGUUCGCCACACCUGGAACUGGACAACGGCCAGACCCCUAAGGGAGGCAGCAGUAGGGAAUCUUCCGCAAUGGGCGAAAGCCUGACGGAGCAACGCCGCGUGAGUGAUGAAGGUCUUCGGAUCGUAAAACUCUGUUAUUAGGGAAGAACAUAUGUGUAAGUAACUGUGCACAUCUUGACGGUACCUAAUCAGAAAGCCACGGCUAACUACGUG
rnacentral:rRNA from 1 species